rnacentral:lncRNA from 1 species
GAAGGAACAAAGAACAUGCACGGUCAAAGAGCUGCAGUCGUUUUGCAGAAGCUGCAGGCGCUCUAGCAGCAGAAUGGUGGUUUCUCACCCAGGCACUGGCACUCAAGCGGAAGCUAUAGGCGCUCGAGCGGGUAGAGUGAGAAUUCAUACUCCGACCUAGGCGCUCGAGUGGGAGGAACGAAUCCAGCACAGCUCCUUGGCGAAUUAUAAAUAGGCACUUUAGCACUAUGACACUUUAGCACUUUUGCGUUAGAUUUCUUCCUAGUUUUGGUGUCCUUUAAGUUUCCUAUUCCUUGUAUAAUUGUACUAAAGCCAUAUGACAUAUAAAUAGGCACUUCAGCACUAGGUUAUUAUAACGUGAGAAAACUAAGGCAUUAAAUUGGAUUUAAGAGAGCAAAGGGGGUUCUUCAUUGUAACCAAAGGGUUUCUUUCUUACUAGUUAAUUUCUCGGGGAUCACCAAAAGGACAUAGGAACAACGCUGAACCUCUAUAAAUUCUUGUGUUCUUUGUGUGCUUG